rnacentral:rRNA from 1 species
CCCUACGGGGGGCAGCAGUGAGGAAUAUUGGUCAAUGGCCGAGAGGCUGAACCAGCCAAGUCGCGUGAGGGACGACGGCCCUACGGGUUGUAAACCUCUUUUGUCGGGGAGCAAGACCCGCCUCGUGCAGGCGGAGCGAGAGUACCCGAAGAAAAAGCAUCGGCUAACUCCGUGCCAGCAGCCGCGGUAAUACGGAGGAUGCGAGCGUUAUCCGGAUUUAUUGGGUGUAAAGGGCGUGUAGGCGGGAUUGCAAGUCAGA